UAUAAUCGACGAGCGUUUUGCGUUGUGUACCCAUUACUGAAUUAGAUGUCCCCACUGAACGAAAGAAGAUGUCCGCUACAAUAUAAUCAUAAAAUCGUUUGCAAUUCUCUCGGUUUGCCACAUAAGAGAGACUGGGGACAACAACAAACAAAAUGGUGGACAGUAGACGAGUUGGGGCUUUAAGCUUUGUAUCAAUCGUGCUGAGGCGAAAAAAACGUAAGCGACGUGCACAAUCUGUCUGGGAAAAAGAAUGGUUACUUCGAAGAACAAAGAAAUCCAGUUUAUACCAAUGAGAUCUAGCUCUGAUGCAGUGAUUAUAAGAGAAAUCCAGUUUAUACCAAGGAGAUCUCUGAUGCAGUGAUUAUAAGAAAUCCAGUCUAUGCCAAAGAGAUCUCUGAUGCAGUGAUUAUAAGGUAAAUCUGAAACAGUUGUGCUUAGUUGUUAGCCAGAAAAUUUUCAAAACUGAGGUGUCCCUUUUCCCCCUGAAAUUAUUGAUUUGCAGGCAACUAAUAGAAGAAAACAACAUUGCUAAUAAGAGGUUGAUAGGAGUAACACAAUAAUUAAUGAGUUAUAUAUUCUUAUUUAUUGGAAUGGUGACAGGUGUCAUGACAGGUUUUUAUUUUUCGUUGGUAAAUUUUUACAGGCUUCGUGACACUUCAGUUUUGCAGUGGCAUCAUUUCUAUACAUAUUAACUAUUUCAGAUCAGCUAGUUGUUCAUGAUGUUAUUGUUGUUGCUGCUGAUCCUCCGCUGAUGUUAUUGUUCUUGUUUCUGUUGAUCUUCUUGUUUUUGAUUGUGACAGAGUCAAAAGACACUAUUUUGG